rnacentral:rRNA from 1 species
UACGAAGGGGGCUAGCGUUGCUCGGAAUCACUGGGCGUAAAGGGCGCGUAGGCGGCCAUUCAAGUCGGGGGUGAAAGCCUGUGGCUCAACCACAGAAUUGCCUUCGAUACUGUUUGGCUUGAGUUUGGUAGAGGUUGGUGGAACUGCGAGUGUAGAGGUGAAAUUCGUAGAUAUUCGCAAGAACACCAGUGGCGAAGGCGGCCAACUGGACCAACACUGACGCUGAGGCGCGAAAGCGUGGGGAGCAA